UACGAGGGGGGCGAGCGUUGUUCGGAAUUAUUGGGCGUAAAGGGUGCGUAGGCGGUUCCGCAAGUCCUGUGUGAAAUCUUCGGGCUCAACUUGUAGUCUGCACGAGAAACUGCCGGGCUUGAGUAUGGGAGAGGUGAGUGGAAUUCCUGGUGUAGCGGUGAAAUGCGUAGAUCUCAGGAGGAACACCUGUGGCGAAAGCGGCUCACUGGACCAUAACUGACGCUGAUGCACGAAAGCUAGGGGAGCAAACAGG
rnacentral:rRNA from 1 species